GUCAGGAUGGCCGAGCGGUCUAAGGCGCUGCGUUCAGGUCACAGUCUCCCCUGGAGGUGUGGGUUAAAUCCCACUUCUGACU
rnacentral:tRNA from 1 species